rnacentral:misc_RNA from 1 species
UGCUGGUGCAGCUGCUUUCUUCUUACCCCGUUGUCCGUUGCCAACUUUGCCCUUAUUAGGAUCUUCUUGUGGCCCAAUAAUUAGAUUACGUGAAACUGAUGAAGUACUGGGGCCAGCAGCAGCCACUUGUAAUUUCUCCAAGUUUUUCCUGUGUUUCUUUCCCAAUUUAUGCUUUUCAAGUACUUCCUUGCUGUUACAGUCUACCUUGCAAACUUCACAAUAUGCAGAUUGAACAACCUUUGUUUUCUUUUGGCGUUUCUUCAGAGUUCCUGAAGCUGAAAUGCCAAGUUAGCCCACACAAUGGACUCUGGAUGUGCCAACUGUUCACUUACAACAGCGCCUCCAUAUCCAGCCGGAUUCGCCCCAUACUGCUGAACGGCCUCCUUGGCAGCCCAAAUCUGCAAAUUGGGAUCCAAAUAGUACGCAGAAGCGUCGGCUUGAACAUAAGAGAGGGCGUUAGGUUGCGGGAGAGAGGUCAGGGAGGGGUAGGAAUCCACCCCAGGUGGUCUGAUAGUGGUGGUGGAGGCGGCAGCGGCGGCGCAGGGGUCAGUAUAGACAUGAUGGAGAUGUUGGAGAGAGAAUUGAGUAUUAGGAUUUUGGGAAUAACAAGAGUAAUAAGGGUCAGUGGGUGGUGGAUUAGUGUUAGGGUUAGGGUUAGGGUUUGGAUUCAUUUCAGGGCGGAAGUUUUAUUACUGAAAAUUUCACAUAUAUUCAUCUUGCAUCUUGGCCGUUGUGUUGGAUCGGUGCAGAGAGAGGAAGAUAUUGUUUACAGAAGCCAACAGAGAGGAGAAUAAGAAGUUAGUGUUCUUUCCCUUUGGGUUUGUACAGAUUUGGCCCAAUUCUACUAGGACCCUUCUUCA